GGUUGCGAUCAUACCAGCACUAAUGCACGGAUCCCAUCAGAACUCCGCAGUUAAGCGUGCUUGGGCGAGAGUAGUACUAGGAUGGGUGACCCCCUGGGAAGUCCUCGUGUUGCAACCC
rnacentral:rRNA from 1 species